rnacentral:rRNA from 1 species
GACGAACGCUGGCGGCGUGCUUAACACAUGCAAGUCGAACGGAAAGGCCCUGCUUGCAGGGUACUCGAGUGGCGAACGGGUGAGUAACACGUGGGUGAUCUGCCCUGCACUUCGGGAUAAGCCGGGGAAACUGGGUCUAAUACCGGAUAGGAGCCAUUUUUAGGGUGAUGGUUGGAAAGUUUUUUCGGUGUAGGAUGAGCUCGCGGCCUAUCAGCUUGUUGGUGGGGUAAUGGCCUACCAAGGCGGCGACGGGUAGCCGGCCUGAGAGGGUGGACGGCCACCUUGGGGCUUAGAUACGGCCCAGCCUCCUACGGGAGGCAGCAGUGGGGAAUAUUGCACAAUGGGCGCAAGCCUGAUGCAGCGACGCCGCGUGGGGGAUGACGGCCUUCGGGUUGUAAACUCCUUUCGCUAGGGACGAAGCUUUUUGUGACGGUACCUAGAUAAGAAGCACCGGCUAACUACGUG